rnacentral:rRNA from 1 species
AGAGUUUGAUCCUGGCUCAGGACGAACGCUGGCGGCGUGCUUAACACAUGCAAGUCGAACGAGGCCGCUCCUUCGGGAGCGAGUCGAGUGGCGGACGGGUGCGUAACACGUGAGUGACCUGACCUUGUGAGGGGGACAACCCGGGGAAACCCGGGCUAAUACCGCAUAGGCGCAGCCCGUCGAGGGCGGCGUGAAAGCCGGCCUAUCCAUGGAAGCCGGCGCGCAGGGAGGGGCUCGCGGCGUAUCAGCUGGUUGGUGAGGUAACGGCUCACCAAGGCGACGACGCGUAGCGGGUCUGAGAGGACGACCCGCCACAUUGGAACUGAGACACGGUCCAGACUCCUACGGGAGGCAGCAGUGGGGAAUCUUGGGCAAUGGCCGAAAGGCUGACCCAGCGACGCCGCGUGCGGGAUGACGCUUUUCGGAGUGUAAACCGCUGUCAGGGGGGACGAAGUCUUCGGGGGCGAACAGUCCUCGGAGCUGACGGUACCAGAGGAAUAAGCCCCGGCUAACUCCGUGCCAGCAGCCGCGGUAAGACGGAGGGGGCAAGCGUUGUUCGGAAUUACUGGGCGUAAAGAGCGUGUAGGCGGCCAGGUAGGUCGGCUGUGAAAACUCGAGGCUCAACUUCGAGAUGUCGGCCGAAACCAUCUGGCUAGAGUCCGGAAGAGGAGAGUGGAAUUCCUGGUGUAGCGGUGAAAUGCGCAGAUAUCAGGAAGAACACCCGUGGCGAAGGCGGCUCUCUGGGACGGUACUGACGCUGAGACGCGAAAGCGUGGGGAGCGAACAGGAUUAGAUACCCUGGUAGUCCACGCCGUAAACGAUGGGAACUAGGUGUGGGCGGUGUCGACUCCGUCCGUGCCGAAGCUAACGCAUUAAGUGCCCCGCCUGGGGAGUACGGCCGCAAGGCUAAAACUCAAAGGAAUUGACGG